AUCCAUUCCCCCUCCCCUCACCGUGCGCUGCGCCGCGCUCCCUCUCCUCCCGAGCACCCCGCGCCUGCACCUCCAAAGAUCUGGCAGCGGCGACGGAUCUCCACCUCCACAGGCGACUACGGAUCUCCACCCCGCAUCCUCAGGCGGCCGAGUUGGGCUACUGCGUGUGCAGAGCAUCCCGGACGCGCGGCCGGGGGCAGGAGCGCCGGCGUGGUGGCCACUGCGCUGCGGCGGUGGCAGGCGUAGGACGUCCUAGAGCGGUUGGGCUCCACGCUGCUCGCUGGGGCGUCGGUGCUCUCCCUGCCGGCGAUCCAAGCUAGUGUGACGGGGGGCCAGGCCAACACCACGCUCCGCCGCAUGCCGGCCCGCAUCGAAUCGCAGUCCCACCUGCGGACUCAAUGCGCAGCCGCGCGCGCAUGUUCGACGCGGACCAAGUCACUGCCAUCAUGUCUUCUACCCGCGCGGGUGUGCAAAGGGACGAGGGUGCGAGGAGGCCAUCGGCACUCGGCCUGCUCCGCUUUCGGAAGGAGGACGCCGAUGCCUGUCGCGCUUGCGCUCAACCUAACCUCAUUUGCCUCUCCUUCCUUUUCUGAGGAGCCGCGAAACCCUUAUGGGGACUCUGACUGCAUAUUCUCGUGAUCUCAUUGCUGCUGGUGGUAGGUCGUGGUGCUAUAGCAGGGGCGUGGAGGGCAGGCAAGAGAACUGAGGUGACGGCGUGUUGGCAGUGUUAGAUCAGGAGGGAACAGCUCAUCAGUUCUGACUUCUGAGAAGCUCAAGUAGCUCCUAAUGGUACACAGUUAACAUUAGCUGCAGCCAGAAGAAAAAGAGAGGUGCAUGGGCAGUUGAUCCGGAUAAAGAUAACAUGUUGAUGCUGUUGUCCAUCUCAAACAAAAUAGGAGAUUAUGAUGAUGAUGCUUCUACCAUGUUCUCGACGAGUGUUCAGGAUGAAACGGAACAAGGAACAAGUAAUGCGAAGACAUGGGAAUUUCGAGGCAAAUAUUGGAACCUUUGCUAUUUUUGUUUCUAGUGUAUUGCUUUUGAUGCAAGAUGACAGCAUGUAACUUGCUAUUUUGAUGUGCUUCUCAAUGUAAAUAUGAGAUAUUCUAUUUGAUUUGAUGUUGUGGUAAAUGGGCUGAAAAUUUUAGUAUA